CCGCUGUCUGCAGGGAACAGAGCACACACUCAGACCGUGGGCAGGAGAUGCCUGUGUAGUGCCUACAGAGGGGUGUGUAUGCCUGUGGUACACUACAGCUGUGUGCACAAAGGCAUGUGGGACACACACACUAUAGCACAUAGUUCCCCUUUAACACACAGCACUGCCUGUCUGUCUCAAAGGGAAUAGUAACACAAAUAAACCCUUUUUCUGUAGAAAAUGUAUCUAUAUAUGUUUGUAUAUAGGGGGAGCAGAUGCAGAGGGUUACACAGCUACAACUAAUACUGUAUACCUAUAUAUGUGUGUGUAUAGGUCACACACAAACAUCUCUAGUUUUAUCAUGUAGAUAGAUAAAGGGCAGGUAUGUAUAGAUGUGUCUAUAUUUUACAUAUAUAUUACACAUCUAUAAUCCAUUCUACCUGCAUAUGUACACAGUCAGUCAAUAGAUACUUAUUGGCCACAGCCCCUCCCUUUAAAUACUCGUAAUUAGCUACUGUUAAAACAGAAUGCAAACACACCCACACUCCUACUUGUCUUUAUAUAUAUAUAUAUAUAUAUAUACACACACACACAUUAUACCUAUAUGUGAACAACCCCCCCCACUAUAUGCAGACAGUUUUUAAAUUUGGCAUGCACACAUAUGGAUACAUAAAAGGUGUGUGUGGCUCCUUAUUUGUACACUGGGGAUGGCUUUACAGGGAUACACAGCUGUACAUAAUGCCAUUUACCUGCAUAGCUAUGUGAACACACACUACAUACACUACAAAGGUGUAUAUAUGCAGUGUCUCACACAUCCAAUUUUAUAUAAUCAUCAUCUUUAUAUACAGACAUGAGGAAUUGUGUCUGUGUGAGCCCAAGAUAGUAUACAUUAUACACACAUGACAUAUAGUGCCCCGUUGAAAGACACCUGUCAUUAAACAAAAUAUGCACAACCCUCAUAUAGAAAUAUAUAUGUAUUUCUCUGUAUCUGUAUCUAUGGGACAGAUAUGUAUGUAACAGAUUAUACCUGUGCAUGAACACGUCCUGCUACAUUUAUGUAGCUGUUCAUACACAGGUAUGGAUAGUCUUUAUACCCAGUACCAUUCUAUAACGGGGAUGAACAUAGACAGCUCUGUAAUAUAUACACCUCUAUAAGUAAUGCCAUAUACCAACCUGCCUCUGUCUCUAUAUACAUCUGCACAUUUUCUACAAUGUAUGUAUGGCUAUAUAGUCUCCUGUCACACACAUAUAUAUGUAAUACGUAUAUAGAGAUUUAUCUCUAAGAAGAUCCAUAUAUAACACAGUGUAUAUACAUAUGACAGACUAUGUAAUACAGGGUCCCCCCUUAAAUUCAUUUAAUUACCUAUAAACAGAACACACAUGCUCUCACACACCUGUACUUACCUUUAUGUAUAAGUACAUGUAUUUCUCAUUGUGUGUGUAUAGCUGGGGAAUGUAUGUACAGGGAUAAUACAUUGUACCUAUACAGGAACACCCCCUCUUUACAGACUUUAAGUGUGUGUGUGUGUGUGUGUAUAUAUAUAUAUAUAAAUUUUAUAUAUAUAUACGUACACACACAUACACAUGUACCUUUUUAUAGCCUUCCAAGUAUGUUAUGGGGAUGUAUAUAGAGGGACAUGCAUCUCUAUAUAAUACCACAGACCUCUCUAUUCCUGUGUGCACACAUACGUGUAAUAGUUAUAUACACAGUCUCUUGCCCACCUUAUUUUAUAUACACAUAAUUUUCAUAUAUAGAUUUAACCAUAUAGAUGUGGGAAGAGCUGUUGCUAUGUGUAUACAUACAACUAAAGUAAUACAUUAGACCUAUACAUAGAUACAUACAGAUAGUAUAUAUAUAUAGAGAGAGAGAGAGAGAGAGAGAGUACAUAGUUGUCAUCCUCCCCCUUUGAAAACAUAAUUACCACUCUUUAUAAAUAGAGUAUAUACACUUAUACACAGGUACACUUAUCUUUGUGUAUAAAUAUUUACAUAUUAUAGUCUGUAUAUGUGAAUCUGGAAUGUAUAUACAGGAAUAUACAUAUAUAACGUGUAUCAAAUAACAUAUACAUAUUAUAAAUAACACAUUAUAUAUGACACCUCCAACCUUUAUACAUCUUUUAAAUUGUAUACAUACACCAUCUUAUAUAUAGCCAAGUUUACUAUGGGGAUAUAUACACAGCAAUGUACCAUAUAUAAUACAACAUAUACCUAUAAACAUGUGCACACGUGUACAUAUAGAUGUUUGAUAAAUAUAAUACUCCCUUUAAAUACAUAAAAUUUUCUGUCUUUAACUAGAAUACAACCCCCCAUAUACUUUAUGUAGAAAUAUAUAUAUGUGUGUGUGUGUACAUACACAGGGAAUGCAUAUAUAGAAAUCUACAUAUAUAAUACAUUAAAGCACAGCCACAUCCACAUUACACUUAACACCUGUUAGACAUAUAAAAUUAUAUGUACCCCCCCUUUUAAUGUCUCUCCAUGUAUAUUAUGGGCAUAUACAUCUAUAAGUAUUACCAUAUACCUGUGUGUGUGUGUAUAUAUAUAUAUAUAUAUAUAUAUAUAUACGUACACACACACAUACAUACAUAUAAGUAAUAUACAUAGGUAUAUAUACAGUGUCUCUCACAGACCUAUUUUUAUAUAUACAUAAUCUUUACACAUACAUUUAUCCAUAUGGCUAGGGGGAACAGCUGGGUAUAUACUUGCCCCAUAUAUGGUACAUAAUGCAUGUAUAUAUAUGAUGCUUACAUAUUUAUAUGUCUGUAUCUCUGUAUAUAGGUGUGGAACGUAUAUAUAGGGAUGUAUGAGAACACACACACAUAUAAUGUUAUGUAUACAGGUACACAGAUGUGGUCCCUCACACCUUUUCCUCCUUUUCUUAGCCAUACAUACACCUAAACCUAUGUAGAGAUUCAUGCAUCUUUAUAUAUAUAGUCUUGUAUAGACUGGGGAUGUAUAUAGAGGGAGAUACACAAAUAAAGACAAUACUUUAUACCUCC